rnacentral:rRNA from 1 species
AUUGAACGCUGGCGGCAGGCCUAACACAUGCAAGUCGAACGAGAGGCGGACGGGUGAGUAAGGUAUGAGCAACUGGCUGAUGGAGGGGGAUAACUACUGGAAACGGUAGCUAAUACCGCAUACCAUCAGAUGGGCCGAGAUGGGAUUAGCUUGUUGGUGUGGUAACGGCUAACAAAGGCGACGAUCCCUAGCUGGGCUGAGAGGAUGACCAGCCAAACUGGAACUGAGACACGGUCCAGACUCCUACGGGAGGCAGCAGUGGGGAAUAUUGCACAAUGGGCGCAAGCCUGAUGCAGCCAUGCCGCGGGUGUGAAGAAGGCCUUCGGGUUGUAAAGUACUUUCAGCGGGGAGGCGUUACCCGCAGAAGAAGCACCGGCUAACUCCGUGCCAGCCGCCGCGGUAAUAC